ACGACUGUGGCUCAAUUGACAGAGCAUCGGAGUACUACUCUAGAGGUGUUGGUUCAAGUCCUACCGGCCAUC
rnacentral:tRNA from 1 species